rnacentral:rRNA from 1 species
AAUGGGCGAAAGCCUGACGGAGCGAUGCCGCGUGAUCGAUGAAGGUCGAGAGAUUGUAAAGAUCUUUUCCAACUGAGGAAUAAGUGGACCAGGGAAUGGGUUCAUGAUGACGUUAAGUUGGGAAUAAGCCCCGGCUAAUUACGUGCCAGCAGCCGCCGUAACACUUAAGGGGCGAGCGUUGUUCGGAAUUAUUGGGCGUAAAGGGCACGCAGGCGGUUUUACAAGUCCGAUGUUAAAGACCCGGGCUUAACUCAGGGAAUGCGUUGGAAACUGUAAGACUAGAAUCUUGGAGGGGGGGUCGGAAUUCCUAUUGUAGGGGUGAAAUCUGUUGAUAUUAGGAAGAACACCGGUGGCGAAGGCGGACUCCUGGCCGAAGAUUGACGCUGAGGUGCGAAAGCAUAGGGAGCAAA